GUGGGGAAUCUUGCGCAAUGGGCGAAAGCCUGACGCAGCCAUGCCGCGUGGAUGAUGAAGGUCUUAGGAUUGUAAAAUCCUUUCACCGGUGAAGAUAAUGACUGUAGCCGGAGAAGAAGCCCCGGCUAACUUCGUGCCAGCAGCCGCGGUAAUACGAAGGGGGCUAGCGUUGCUCGGAAUUACUGGGCGUAAAGGGCGCGUAGGCGGACAGCUUAGUCAGAGGUGAAAGCCCAGGGCUCAACCUUGGAAUUGCCUUUGAUACUGGCUGUCUUGAGUACGGGAGAGGUGAGUGGAACUCCGAGUGUAGAGGUGAAAUUCGUAGAUAUUCGGAAGAACACCAGUGGCGAAGGCGACUCACUGGCCCGUUACUGACGCUGAGGCGCGAAAGCGUGGGGAGCAAACAGGAUUAGAAACCCGGGUAGUCC
rnacentral:rRNA from 1 species